GACACACCAGCACACACUCUCUCUGCACAGAGUCUGUUCAUGUAAACCUUCUCCCCUUCCCCCCACAUCUCUCUCCCUUUCUGUCCCCCUCGUCCUCCCCUCCCUCUCACUCUCACUUACAGCCUGCGAGCACUAUUUCAAGCCUCCAUCAGAAGGAGUGAGGGAGAGCGAGUCACAGAGGUCGGGGGGAGGGGCCUGCAGACAGGAUUUGGAGUUCAAGUGCAUGUGGAGAAAAUGACCUGGAAGACAGCGAGACAGAGAGCGGAAUGGGAACGCGCAGGCUGGAAUAUCCUCUUUUUUCCAGGCACUGAUUUUUGCCCUGGAAUAAAGAAGGUGAGAAAAAAGAAAAAAAAAAGAAGCACUCUCUCAACUCUCAAAAGAGCAAAUGAAAGAAAAUCGAACGCCGGGAGACGAGAGCGGAGGACAAGAAAAUGUAUUCCGGCCCCCUCCCCUGAACUCUUGGCUACGACUCACUCCUCCUUCUUCCCUCCCUCCCGUGAACCCCUUAGCCUCUCUUUUCUCUCUGUCGUUCCCUCUCUGUCAUUCUCUCCCCUCCCACCUCCUCAUGCGGUCGCUUGCGUACAUAUGCGCCCUUACGAUCUCGCUCUCUUUUCCUCUCUCUCCGCCGGCUGCAGUGCUUCUCUUCUCAUCCUCGCAGUCUGGCAGCUCCAUCCGUGUUCCUCCCUCCUGGACGGAGAAACACGUGCAGCCUUUUUAAUGGUCCCCACACCCCUCAACGUGCCUCCCUAAAAAAACCAGGCCCCUUCAACAGCUCCUUUUCCUACUUGUCUCGGUGCCUGAUCACCGUCCGCUCUCCUUUGCACUUCACUUACAUUCAUAAUUUUUUCUCUUUUUCUUUUUGCGUUGAAUCAUUUUCCAGCUCUAUCCCACAAAUUCUCACAUUCAUAAUGUGAAAGCAGUUCAGAGUGCUGAAUGAAGAGUAGGAAAUGGGAUGGGUAGGAGGAAAAACGUGGUUUGGGAGGAAACGCUAAGAGGAGAGAAGUGACUGGGAUAGCGGAGAGGAGGAAGGACCCGGAGCAACGAGAGAAAGAGCCAAACGUGGGAUCAACGAAACCGCGGGAAAAGAAGGAAUGACCAGGCUGAUAUCGAGGAUGAGCAUUCAGGCAUCGGCGGAGGACAGAAUCAAAGCAUGUGUGAGAUAUCACAGUUCUUAUUCAGCUGGAAGAAAUGG